rnacentral:snoRNA from 1 species
GUGCUGUGAUGAAACACACUACUAUGCCGUCUGACACAGCUUUCAUGUUGAAAACCAGAGGCUGUUUCUGAGCAU